UACGUAGGGGGCAAGCGUUGUCCGGAUUUAUUGGGCGUAAAGCGCGUGUAGGCGGCUAGGUAGGUCCGCUGUGAAAACUUGAGGCUCAACCUCAAGAGGUCGGUGGAAACCAUCUAGCUAGAGUCCGGAAGAGGAGAGUGGAAUUCCUGGUGUAGCGGUGAAAUGCGCAGAUAUCAGGAAGAACACCUAUGGCGAAGGCAGCUCUCUGGGACGGUACUGACGCUGAGACGCGAAAGCGUGGGGAGCGAACAGG
rnacentral:rRNA from 1 species